ACGCACGCUGGCGGCGUGCUUAACACAUGCCAGUCGAACGAAGAGCGAUGGAAGCUUGCUUCUAUCAAUCUUAGUGGCGAACGGGUGAGUAACGCGUAAUCAACCUGCCCUUCAGAGGGGGACAACAGUUGGAAACGACUGCUAAUACCGCAUACGAUCUAAUCUCGGCAUCGAGGAUAGAUGAAAGGUGGCCUCUACAUGUAAGCUAUCACUGAAGGAGGGGAUUGCGUCUGAUUAGCUAGUUGGAGGGGUAACGGCCCACCAAGGCGAUGAUCAGUAGCCGGUCUGAGAGGAUGAACGGCCACAUUGGGACUGAGACACGGCCCAGACUCCUACGGGAGGCAGCAGUGGGGAAUCUUCCGCAAUGGACGAAAGUCUGACGGAGCAACGCCGCGUGAGUGAUGACGGCCUUCGGGUUGUAAAGCUCUGUUAAUCGGGACGAAAGGCCUUCUUGCGAAUAGUGAGAAGGAUUGACGGUACCGGAAUAGAAAGCCACGGCUAACUACGUG
rnacentral:rRNA from 1 species